AGAGUUUGAUCCUGGCUCAGGACGAACGCUGGCGGCGUGCCUAACACAUGCAAGUCGAACGGACGAUGGAGAGCUUGCUCUCCAAAGUUAGUGGCGAACGGGUGAGUAACGCGUGAGCAACCUGCCUUUCAGAGGGGGACAACAGUUGGAAACGACUGCUAAUACCGCAUAACAUGAUCUGGCCGCAUGACCGGAUCAUCAAAGAUUUAUCGCUGAAAGAUGGGCUCGCGUCUGAUUAGCUAGUUGGUGGGGUAACGGCCCACCAAGGCGACGAUCAGUAGCCGGACUGAGAGGUUGACCGGCCACAUUGGGACUGAGAUACGGCCCAGACUCCUACGGGAGGCAGCAGUGGGGAAUAUUGGGCAAUGGGCGAAAGCCUGACCCAGCAACGCCGCGUGAAGGAAGAAGGCCUUCGGGUUGUAAACUUCUUUUACCAGGGACGAAGAAAAUGACGGUACCUGGAGAAAAAGCAACGGCUAACUACGUGCCAGCAGCCGCGGUAAUACGUAGGUUGCAAGCGUUGUCCGGAAUUACUGGGUGUAAAGGGCGUGUAGGCGGAGAUGCAAGUCAGGAGUGAAAUCCAUGGGCUCAACCCAUGAACUGCUCUUGAAACUGUAUCCCUUGAGUAUCGGAGAGGCAAGCGGAAUUCCUAGUGUAGCGGUGAAAUGCGUAGAUAUUAGGAGGAACACCAGUGGCGAAGGCGGCUUGCUGGACGACAACUGACGCUGAGGCGCGAAAGCGUGGGGAGCAAACAGGAUUAGAUACCCUGGUAGUCCACGCUGUAAACGAUGAAUACUAGGUGUGGGGGGACUGACCCCCUCCGUGCCGCAGUUAACACAAUAAGUAUUCCACCUGGGGAGUACGACCGCAAGGUUGAAACUCAAAGGAAUUGACGGGGGCCCGCACAAGCAGUGGAUUAUGUGGUUUAAUUCGACGCAACGCGAAGAACCUUACCAGGACUUGACAUCCAACUAACGAAGUAGAGAUACAUUAGGUGCCCUUCGGGGAAAGUUGAGACAGGUGGUGCAUGGUUGUCGUCAGCUCGUGUCGUGAGAUGUUGGGUUAAGUCCCGCAACGAGCGCAACCCCUAUUGUUAGUUGCUACGCAAGAGCACUCUAGCGAGACUGCCGUUGACAAAACGGAGGAAGGCGGGGACGACGUCAAAUCAUCAUGCCCCUUAUGUCCUGGGCUACACACGUAAUACAAUGGCCGUUAACAAUGGGAAGCAAUACUGCGAAGUGGAGCAAAUCCCCAAAAACGGUCUCAGUUCGGAUUGCAGGCUGCAACUCGCCUGCAUGAAGCUGGAAUUGCUAGUAAUCGCGGAUCAGCAUGCCGCGGUGAAUACGUUCCCGGGCCUUGCACACACCGCCCGUCA
rnacentral:rRNA from 1 species